rnacentral:rRNA from 1 species
GACGAACGCUGGCGGCGUGCUUAACACAUGCAAGUAGAACGAAGUGGAGAACGGGGGAGUAAAACGUGGGUAACCUGCCCUCCUUUUUGGGAUAAGCCUUGGAAACGGGUGCUAAUACCGAAUAACGGGGGAUGGGCUCGCGGCCUAUCAGCUUGUUGGUGGGGCGUUGGCCUACCAAUGAGGUGACGGGUAGCCGGCCUGAGAAGUUGAUCUGCGACAAUGGGACUGAGAUACGGCACAGACUCCUACGGGAGGCGACAGUGGGGGAUGUUGCACCAUGUGUGAAAGGCUGAUGCAGCGACGACGCGUGAGGGAUGAAGGCUUUCGGGUUGUAAACCUCUUUCGCAAUGGAACGGGUAGGUGGAGAAGAAGCGCCGGCUAACUACGUGCCAGCAGCCGCGGUAAUUC